ensembl:lncRNA
AUGAUAAAAGAACAAACCAGUUUAGCUGCAGUACUGUUUCCCAGAUCUUCUGAACUAGUACUGGAACCAGAGAUGAUACUUAAGAGGGUCAUCUGGCCAGAACCUGACAGUGAUGAAGAUGAAGCCCAAUUCAACCUGGAGCAAUCUUGUGACGUUACAGCCUUCUUGCGUGAAUAUAUUCAAACAGGAUCACCUGCUGAACUGUGCGAGUUGAUGAAGUUUUGGACUGGCUGGACGGUUCUGCCUCAACAUCUGUAUGUUGAAGUGUCACCUGACCUUACACUGCCAGUGGCUUCAACCUGCCUCACAACACUAAAACUUCCUUUAAGAUGCAGAACCUUUCUUGCAUUUACACAAGCCAUGAGAGCAGCAGUUUCAUCCACAAGGUUUGGCUUUGGCCUUGUCUGA